CGAGCGGCGUAAGGGGCAGUAAUACCUGGGAACGUACCCUGAGGUCGGGGAUAGCUGCUGGAAACGGCGAGUAAUACCCGAUGAUCUUGGAAAAGCAAAGGCUUGCCGCCUUGGGAGCGGCCCAGGCGAUAUUAGCUAGUUGGUGGGGUAAUGGCCUACCAAGGCUUAGAUGUCUAGCGGGUGUGAGAGCACGACCCGCGCCACUGGCACUGAGACACUGGCCAGACACCUACGGGUGGCUGCAGUCGAGAAUCUUCGGCAAUGAGCGCAAGCUUGACCGAGCGACGCCGCGUGCGGGAUGAAGGCCUUCGGGUUGUAAACCGCUUUGGUCCGAAAGAAAGGGUAAAACUUGAUCGAUCGGAGAAACAAGGACGGGCUAAGUUCGUGCCAGCAGCCGCGGUAAGACGAACCGUCCAAACGUUAUUCGGAAUCACUGGGCUUAAAGGGCGCGUAGGCGGCCGAGCGGGUCGUGGGUGAAAUCCCCCGGCUUAACUGGGGAACUGCUUACGAUACCACUGCGGCUCGAGGAAGGAGGGGGUCAUGGGAACUGUCGGUGGAGCGGUGAAAUGCGUUGAUAUCGACAGGAACGCCUGUGGCGAAAGCGCAUGACUGGUCCUUUUCUGACGCUGAGGCGCGAAAGCCAGGGGAGCAAACGGGAUUAGAUACCCCGGUAGUCCUGGCCUUAAACGAUGAGAACUAG
rnacentral:rRNA from 1 species